rnacentral:rRNA from 1 species
GGUCUGAGAGGAUGAUCAGCCACACUGGAACUGAGACACGGUCCAGACUCCUACGGGAGGCAGCAGUGGGGAAUAUUGCACAAUGGGCGCAAGCCUGAUGCAGCCAUGCCGCGUGUGUGAAGAAGGCCUUCGGGUUGUAAAGCACUUUCAGUCGUGAGGAAGGUUCAUGCGUUAAUAGCGUAUGGAUUUGACGUUAGCGACAGAAGAAGCACCGGCUAACUCCGUGCCAGCAGCCGCGGUAAUACGGAGGGUGCGAGCGUUAAUCGGAAUUACUGGGCGUAAAGCGCAUGCAGGUGGUUUGUUAAGUCAGAUGUGAAAGCCCGGGGCUCAACCUCGGAAUUGCAUUUGAAACUGGCAGACUAGAGUACUGUAGAGGGGGGUAGAAUUUCAGGUGUAGCGGUGAAAUGCGUAGAGAUCUGAAGGAAUACCGGUGGCGAAGGCGGCCCCCUGGACAGAUACUGACACUCAGAUGCGAAAGCG